UGAAAUAAGUCAAAACACGUUUUAUAUUUCAGAUUCUCUGAUUCCUGCUUUGAACACGCUUGGCAUUCUUUGGAUGAGCUUCAUGAGGUAGAACCUGGGUAGUUCCAAGAUGCUUUCUCACAGGUUCCUGGAUAGUUCCCAAAUGGUUCCCGGAAGGUUCAUGGGUAGUUUCUAGUAGGUUCUCGGGUAGUUCCUAGAUAGUUCCUGGGUAGUUCCUAGAUGGUUCCUCGUAUGUUUCUGGGUAGUUCCUAGGUAGUUCCUGGGUAGUUUCUAGAGGUUUCUUUGUUGGUUCCCAGGUAGUUCCUAGAUGGUUCCUUGAAAAUUCAUUCACAGUUCUUAUAAUUUUCCAGACAGACUGACCUUCAGCUCUUACAGUAAUGAUGGACUUUCGUUUCUCUGUUGCUGAUUGGUUCUUGUCAUAACAUGGAUUCUGACAGUUGUCAAAUAGGGCUGUCAGCUGUGGACCAACCUGACUUCUGAUGGUCCAACCCCAUUAAGAAGACAAGAAAUUCCACAAAUGAAUCUGACAAGGAACACCUGUGGACUGAAACCAUUUCAGGUUCUACUUCAUGAAGCUCAUCCAGAGAAUAACAAGAGUGUUCAAAGCAGGAACCAAAGCAAAGAAUUUAAAUAAAAUAUAGAACAUGUUUUGACGUAUUUCACACUUUUUUGGUUACUACAUAAUUCCAUCUGUGUUCAUUCAUAGUUCUGAUGACUUUAGUGAGAAUCUACAAUGGAAGUAGUCAUGGAAAUAAAGAUUAAAUGAGAAGCAGUGUCCAUACUAUUGAACAGUAGUGCAUGUACUUUAAAGGCCUGGAAUUCUAAAAAUAUUCAGAGUAUGAUACGAUAUGAGGGUAAAUUUAGUUUUCUAGUGCAGCCUGAAGACUGAAUUCUGCCUGUUGAUGCACUAAGACAUGAAUUCAUUACAAGUUAAACAGCGCAUGUCUGUUUGUUUUGGGAGAUCACAGCCAGAAGCGACAGUCAUGACUGUUAGAAUCCGACUGUUUCAGACAAUAAUCGUGUCUGGAAGCGGAUCCUGGAAUCAGAUCCGGUUUAAAUGAAACCUUUCCUUUGCCCUAACUUGCGUUUCAGACGUUCUGCUCCUCUCUCAUCCGUGCACCUUGGCGUGAUCUCUUACCACACGCAGCAGCCGUCUCUGCUCCUUGAAGGUGGCGCAGCAGCCCAGCACGCCUGUUACCAUGACGAUGGCUCCAGCCAGGACCAGUAUGUAGGCGGAGGCGGCGUACGUCUUGGAGGAGAGCAGGCUGAUGUAGUCGCUCUUCUCCACCAAGGUCCAGACGCCCACCGCCAUCACGACGCCCCCUGCCAGCUGGGAGAGGAGACGGCAUGAAUCUCUCUAAACUCCACCGGAUGAAUCUCCUGCCUCUAAACAGCAGGAUGUGGGAGAAUCUGUUGCAUCUCCAGCUGCUGUUAAAACUCAAUGAUCAUCAGGAAUCAGUGAAAGCAGAACAGAACUGAUGGAGAUUCAAGCUCUAGUGACCCCCAGUGGCAGAAACGGGUCAUAACAGGAGCAUUUUAAAUCCUGUGGGGCUCUGAUUCAACUAAACGUUUGUUAUGACACAGAAUUCAUCCGUUCAUAAGAGCGGCAGGUUGAUUUGUUGUUGAGCAUGGAUUGUUAAAUGCAGUUCAUGCCGUUUAUUAGAUGGAUUAUUACAUUUUUAUGCAUAGCUGUGAGCAUCUGUUGAUCUAUUUUCUGCAGUAUCAGUCCAAGUUAGAAAAAGAGCUUUUGAAACUGUUGAACUAUGUUGGUUGUUGGCUAAAAUAAAUCCUAAAAGUAAAGCCUGUACUCUCAAAAA